AAGGUUAGUGACUAUUUUGAGUCUGUAAUAAAGUGUGAAAUGAUCAUGCCUAAAUGCUAUCUCAGAAAAGUAAAGUGGAACAGCAAUGUAGAAAGGAGGAAAAAACCACUUCACAUUUGAAAAUAAAGUAGAAUUUAAUUAAUGCAUUAUAACAGUUAUAUAACUACAAAGUUUCAAUAGAAAAGUAACACAAUUACUAAAAAGCAUUCCAGACCCUGUUUCUCACCUAAGCACUACUAAAAAAUUUAUUAAAAGUGACACUGAAUUAAAAGUUUUUUUUUAAUUUAAAAGUUUUAAGUAGCACUUCCAAGAUUUCAUUUACACAUUCCUCCUUUCCUCCUGAGUGAUCUCUUCACCUUCAAUAUAUUGGUUCUACUUACUCUUUCUACAUAUUUUUCCAUUC
rnacentral:lncRNA from 1 species